rnacentral:lncRNA from 1 species
CCCACUUCAUUAAAAAUCUCAAUUCACCAUUACAACAUUGACUUCAGCAACGAUUGCCUCAGUCUUUCCAAAACUCUAUGAAGAAGAAAAAUUCAAUUCUCUGUCUUUCCUUUUCCGACCCGAAGCAUGAAGCUCCUCUCCAAUCCCCUUGGUCUUCAAAAACCUCCAAUGAAAACCGAACUAGUAACCUUGAAAAUAAAAAACUUGAA